CUCCUUUCUCAGGUUAGCCUGCCAUUCUACAGUGUGGACCUGACUGAGCUUGACUGACAAAGUCACUCCUGGAAGCGUAGGUUUAUUGUCUGUUGCCAGAUUUGGCACAUCAGCUUCUUAAAGGCCAUGUUUCCUUUAACUAAUGCUCUCAGAAUCUUUGAUAAAAGGUCCUUUGAUAAAGUGUUAUGGCAAUAACCAUGCAAAUCUGAAUAGCAGGAAUCUUCAUUUUAGAAACUCCAUCAAGCAUCAGGUUAUGUAAUGAGCUUAGCAUCCCUCUAGGAAAUAAAUCACAAUAUAGUAGAUGGCUAUGAAGGUCUGAAUGCAAAGCAUAUGGCCUGCCACCCACCCACCUAUGCCAUCCACAUGCUGUGUCUUUGUUCCAUCAUCCAGACUGAUCCUAGUAACAAGUUCCUAGCUAAGUAUACUCAAGGGAGGUAUCUCUGACAGGGAAAUAGCUGCCAGACCAUUGAAGAUACAAGUUGAGUGGCAGAAACAAAGUCAUAUAGUCUAAAUCUUCCAAGAACCUUAAGAGAGUGAAUUAUGUUGUAACAGUGAUACACCAUGCUGCUCAAAGAGGAAUCAGACCUAGUCCCUUCCUUCAGGGAGCUCUAAAUCUAGUGUGGAUUCACAGUACACCACAGUGCUACAACAGACAUAAACAAGACCUUACCCCUUCCGGUAAGGGGGAAGGAUGUAGAAGCAUAAAAGAGGGACACCUAACCCUGUCUUGGAAAUAGGGAGCUUCCUAGAGAAGGUAAAAUCUGGAUUGAAUACUGAAAAAUGAAUAACACAUAGCCAACAAAGAGGCUCGGUCAAGAAAGUGAAAAAGAAAGUAUGGGAACAGGAAAUUCCUUUCAAAUUGACCUUUGAAAGGUCAAUUAUGAUAAAUAGGACAGAUAAAUGAUGACAAGACUCUAUUUCUUAAGCCCUUAGAAAGUGCACGAGAACAUAGCUAUAGGCUGGGAAUAGUAUCCAUGUGCUGAAUAUAUGCCCAAAAGACCUACUGUGCUUGAUGAUAAAUAAACACAUACAGGUAGAAGUGGAUUUUGAGGAUAGCUCUUACUAUAUAGCUUUCUGAGAUCAGUCUUCUCAUCUGUGAUAGAACCCACUUUAAAGGGAUUUUGUGAGCAUGGAACUUUUUUUUUUUUUUGAGGAAGAUUAGCCCUGAGCUAACAUCUGCUGCCAAUCCUCCUCUUUUUGCUGAGGAAGAUGGGCCCUGAGCUGCCAGACCAUUGAAGAUACAAGUCAAUGUCAGCCAUGUCAGCCCCCAGGAUCCAAACUGGCAAACCCUGGGCUGCCGAAGCAGAACGUGCAAACUUAACUGCUACACCACCAGCCAGCCCCAGCAUGGAACUUUUUAUCACAUAAGGAGGCUUGUUCUUCCUGGAAAUAACUCCCUGGAAAACCCUUGGCAGAGAUGGUUAUGCCAGAAGAGAUACAGAAAAAUCAGUUAAGACAACACGCACAAAGGAAAAGAAGCUGACAUAUGUCCUAGUUCCUCCUCCCUGGAAGGUGCAAAGUUUCAAGCCUUCUUCUGAACUUGGAUUGGAUUUCCAAUGCCAGGCAUUCUGCCAGGUCAGGGGUCAGCAAACUAUAGCCUGUGAGCACCUGUUUCGCUAUAGCCUACAAUCUAAGAAUGGCUUUUGCAUUUUUAAAUGGAU
rnacentral:lncRNA from 1 species